GAAGAACCCAUCGGGCAGCUACAACCCCCAGCCAGGCACAGUCCCAGAGUGAGCCCAGGGCAGCUAUUGUCUUUAUGGGAUGGCCAUCCUGUGCCAGGUGCCUCCUGGGCCUGGAUGUGGGGUGGGGGAAGUUAGCAAGCUGAGGCUGAGAGUAGAAAAUGUAGCCUGUAGAGGUGGCUAUCCGAAGGAAAAGCACACCCACACUGACUUGGAGCCCCAGCUACCCAGAGACAGGAGGAGAUGGACUGAAGUUUCCUUCAUGAGGUCCUAGCCCGAGGCCCCAUCUCUUCCACAAGGCCUUUCCUGGUUGUCCAAGGGGCCCCAGACUCCAGAGAAGCCCAGGCAUUGAGUCUGUCAUUUCCUCAGAGGUUGGCAAGGCAUCUGAAGACAAAACUCCAAAUGACAUGGGUGUCUUCUGCCUGUCAUACUCCUGUCACAGUCCUUCAGGGACCACCCAGCCCAGUCUCCCCACAGGCAAGGGUCUUUUUCUUUCUCUCUUUUUUUUUUGGUUCGAGAUGGAGUCUCACACUGUCGUCCAGGCUGGAGUGCAGUGGCGCCAUGUCGGCUCACUGUAACCUCUGCCUCCUGGGUUCAAGCGAUUCUCCUUCCUCAGCCUCCCGAGUAGCUGGGACUAC
rnacentral:lncRNA from 1 species